AUUGAAUUUCAAAAGCUUUAGAGGGAGCAGCAAUAUUUGCUGCUUCUUCUCUUCUUCGAAAAAAUCCCUUCUUUUCUCCUUCCGCCUGUGUACAUACAUAAAACACGCACACACACAGUGUAUGUGUAUUUGUCGAUCGAACUUAUUGUUGAAUUAGGUGAAUAAUUUGAGUGGAUUUGUAGCCAACAUUCGCUGGAUUUUUGUAAUUUGAAUCUGAUUUUCGAAUUACACAGCUUAACCUGUCGAAAAUUUGAAUUUUAAACAGUUUUUUCGUUAUAUUUGUUGAAAUUUGUGGAAUUAUCGUGGUAUUUGCAGUGGAUAAUCAGUGAAUUUGUGAGAUUUUGUAAUUUUUGGGUGUUUGGUGAGUUUUUAUUGUGUGUUUGAAUGGAGAAUAGUGAGGGAGGGGAUUUUUUCCCUCCUAACAAGGCUCAAUCGGAGGUGGCUGUUUCUGCUGCUGCAGCUACGACGGUGCAGCCGCAGGUGGCAGUGGAUUUCCCGGCGAAGAAGCUGGCUAGGCAGCUGGAUUUCACGGUGUUCGGUGGCAGUAGCGGUCAAUCUCCGGCCACCGCUAUGCCGGAGCAAACAAAGCAGAUUCAACCGCUUGUGAAAUCGAUACAACUGCAAAGGCCACAGACGCAGCAACAUAUGGUGUUAAUGCCGACGAAACAAACUGCGGUGCCGACUACUCAUCCUUCAAUACGACCUCCUCUGAAACCAGAUUCUCCAAGAGCACGGCCAAGGCAAAGUGUUAGUGAGGUAAAAGAUGGUACUCCUAAAAAGCAGAAGCAGUGUAACUGCAAACACUCUCGAUGUCUAAAGUUGUAUUGUGAAUGCUUUGCAUCUGGCAUAUACUGUGAUGGGUGCAAUUGUAACAAUUGUCAUAAUAAUGUCGAAAAUGAGCCUGCUAGACGUGAAGCAGUUGAAGCUACUUUAGAGCGUAAUCCACAUGCAUUCAGGCCUAAAAUCGCCAGCAGUCCACAUGGAGCUCGAGAUAAUAAGGAGGAAAUUGGGGAUGUCUUAGUCUUGGCAAAGCAUAACAAAGGAUGCCACUGCAAGAAAUCAGGUUGCCUCAAGAAGUACUGUGAGUGCUUCCAAGCCAACAUUCUUUGCUCUGAAAAUUGUAAAUGCAUGGACUGCAAAAAUUUUGAAGGAAGUGAGGAGAGGCAGGCUCUUUUCCAUGGAGAUCAUGCAAACAACAUGGCAUAUCUCCAGCAGGCGGCAAAUGCUGCUAUCACAGGUGCCAUUGGAUCCUCCGGUUAUGGAUUAUCUCCUGUGAACAAGAAAAGAAAGGGCCAGGAGCUGUUCUUCGGGUCAUCAGUUAAGGAACCUGUUCACAGGCAUGGACAAUCCCAACAGGGGAACCAUAUCAAGGCUUCUGUCCUACCUUCAUUAUCUUCAGUUCCUGGUCCUUGUGUUGGAAAUGCUGCAACAGUGGGUCCUUCCAAGUUUACCUACAGGUCUCUGUUGGCAGACCUCAUCCAACCACAGGAUUUGAAGGAACUUUGCUCAGUUUUAGUUUUACAUUCAGGAGAAACAGCCAAGAUGCUGGCAGAUGAAAAGGAUGCUUCAAUGAAACAGGCUGAGGGGCAGAGAGAAGCUUCCUUAGCUUCAUCAACUCAGGAGCGAGUACAAAACCAGAAAGAUUCUAGUACUGAGAAGGAUAUGCUUGACUGUUGUUCAAGUGGGGACCAAGGUGAGAAAAUCAGUGUGGAAGAGUCUAGUUUGGAUGGUGCUGAUGUAUCAAAAAGGCCAAUGUCGCCAGGGACGUUAGCACUAAUGUGUGAUGAAUCACACACCAUGUUUGCAGCUGCUGUUGCUUCCCCUAAUGACCUAGCGACUCUUAGCUGUAAUACAUCUUCUCAAUUGCCCCACGGGCAGGGCAUGACCGAGACGUAUGCAGAACAGGAAAGAAUCGUGUUGAUGAAAUUUCGUGAUUGUCUUAAUAGGCUUGUCGAUUUAGGACAACUAAAAGAACGAAAAUGUUCAUCAAUGAUCCGAGGUGCUGACCCUGUCGAUCAAAAAGAUAUGAUUGGUAAUGGUUUUACUACGAGUGAAACAAGGAAUCAGCAUGAUUCCUUGAACAAUGGUGUUGCCAAGUCUGCUCUUCCUCUGCCAAGAACAGCUCAGUUGUUUAGUGCAGUAGUAACUACUGCUAAUAAUAAUAAUCCAUUUCCUAAAGUUCAUCGUCCAGAUGAGAAUGGGGAUGUCAAACCAAAAAUCUGAAAAUAAACCGUAGUGAGUUUUAGAAUGAGAUUUGCCUGUAACUGCUGCUUCUAUUGUAAUAUUAGGCUUUUAUUCAUUGUCUUUCUUUGAUGUAGCAGUGAAGUUCAUUCAGGCCCCAUUUGUUAGAGCUAGCAAUCCAUACUCGCUCUUCUCAUCUAGAAGAACAGUUCAGGGGCUUCUUUGAUCGGGAAAUGCACACUUCUUUUGUUGUUAUUAAGGUUCCUUCCUCCUGAGUUCAAGAUGUCCCUGCCGUUUCUCAGCUUAUGGGAUUAAGGCGUGCCACUUUAUGAGGAAUUAUUGAUGCAAACGUGACAUCCUGUAUUUGCUUGAAUAUGUUAGGCUUGUUUUCGAGGUUCUCACGAAAACAGUCUCUCUGUCCUCCCUAGGUAAGGAUAAGGUCCGCAUACAUGCUAUCCUCCCCAAACUCCACAUGGUUUGUUGUUAUUGUU